rnacentral:lncRNA from 1 species
AGCAACCCAAAAAUCCCACAAACCAAAGCAAACUACUCCAAAAACAACACCAGCAACACAAAGAAAAUGAAGAAGAAAAAACCCAGAAAGAUUACCAAAAAAUACACGCACCCAUCUGCAUAAAAAAGAAAAAAGAAAAAUCCCCCUCCCAUUAUAUAUUUUUUUCACUCACAAACAAAGGUUGAGUUUGAAGUUUACUUUCGUGGUUUCGAGUUCGUGGUUCCCUAUUAGGAUUGCUUUCUUUUAGUAAAUUGAUUGUCGCAAGAGGUACCAUUUAACAUUUAUUUUAUAAUUUGAUUUUCAUGAUUAUAUAAUACUUGAUUAUAAUGUUAUGAAGUUGCUCAAAUUUAGAUGUGUUAAUUUUGACACAAUAAUAUUGAAAUAUUUCCUAUUUAAGCUAUUGUACAUUUUAUUUUUUUUGUAUCAUAUGUUGUUAUCAAUUAAGUACCUCUUGUGUCCAAUCCAAAAUCAAUUAAAUGUCUAAAAGAAUUAUUCUAAUAGUUUGGUUUAAGACUAAUAAAAAUUCAACAAUUAAAAAAUAAACAAAUUUUGGCAUAUAGACACAAAUUAUUCAAAAACAUAUUAAAAUAAGUAUAAGUCAAUAAAAGCGACCGUGCUAGAACCACGGGACUCGAGGGAUGCUUAAUACCUUCCCCUCGGUCAACAUAAUUUCUUACCCGAAUUUCUAGUUCGUAGACAAAAACUAAAAGAGUCAUUUCCUAUUGAUUAGGGAUUCGAAAAGGUGACUUGGAACAGCACAACUCAAUUCCAAGUGGCGACUUUGAAAAAAUUAAAACAAUCCCUAUUCAAUACCGUCACUUAAAUUGGAAAAAUCCUUCGGCCGUGCGCGAAAAGGGGUGUGACAUCUCUGGCGACUCCGCUGGGGACUAAUCAGAAUUCGAGCUUUGUUAUAUUGACUUUUACUUGAUUUUAUUAUUUUAUUUAUUGGAUAUAUUGUGUUUGAUGGCUAAUUUGCUACUUGCUACUCAUUUAUUGCUUUUUAUAUUUAUAUUGUUGAACUAUACUAAAUUAUUUUCUCUUACGCACACCUUAUGAGUCUUUCAAUACACAUAACACACGUUCACAGGAAUGCAGUUAUGCAUCAUAUUUUCCCUUGAGAUAAAGCUGGAGUGUCUUGACACCUAGUGAAGGAUAUUUAGUUGUCUAUGUUAGGCGGGAUUGGACCAUCAAUGAAGUCGAAAUAGCGCUGCUACCGAUAAGUUGCCCCUCGCUGGCUCGAGUUGUCUACUCGGGU